UCCUCUUUGGCCAAGUGGCUACGGCGUUCCACUCGUAUAUUGUUCAGCGAUUAAACGACAUGGAAAGAUCACUCGUUCGAUUCGGGUAAGAGGAG